GGAUGCGAUCACACCAGCACUAAAGCACCGGAUCCCAGCAGAACUCCGUAGUUAAGCGUGCUUGGGCGAGAGUAGUACUAGGAUACCUCCUGGGAAGUCCUCGUGUUGCAUUCC
rnacentral:rRNA from 1 species